ACCUACAGGUUGAGAACCACUGCCCUGAAGGCAACAGAUCUUGUCUGAUCUUGGAGGCCAAGCAGAGUCAGCCCUUGUUAGGACUUGGAUGAGAUAUCACUAAUGAAUAGCAGGUGCUGUGGGUU
rnacentral:rRNA from 11 species